rnacentral:rRNA from 1 species
GACGAACGCUGGCGGCGUGCCUAAUACAUGCAAGUCGAGCGAAGCGGCGGAUGGGUGAGUAACGCGUGGGUAACCUGCACUUCAGUCUGGGAUACCAUUUGGAAACAGAUGCUAAUAACGGAUACUAAAGGAUGGACCUGCGAUGAAUUAGCUAGUUGGUAAGGUAACGGCUUACCAAGGCGAUGAUGCAUAGCCGGUUUGAGAGGCUGAUCGGCCACAUUGGGACUGAGACACGGCCCAAACUCCUACGGGAGGCAGCAGUAGGGAAUCUUCCACAAUGGGCGAAAGGCUGAUGGAGCAACGCCGCGUGAAUGAAGAAGGUUUUCGGAUUGUAAAGCUCUGUUGGUGGGGAAGCGUUAAUCAACCAGAAAGUCACGGCUAACUACGUGCCAGCCGCCGCGGUAAUAC